rnacentral:lncRNA from 1 species
GAUAUAACCAAAUACAACAAUUUAUCUAAGCUCGAAUUCUGAACCCUGAACAAAACGUUUUGAGUUCUUAUCCCCACCAGAGUCGCCAGAGCUGUCACACAUCCUUUUUCACAACAUCUGCAAGGGAGUAAGGAGUUUUUCCAAUUAAAGGACAAUCGGAAUGGAAUUUAAUUAUUAAUUAUUCAGAGUUGCCACUUGGAAGAUUAAUGAUG